rfam:Danio rerio chromosome 25 genomic contig CTG2378, GRCz11 reference primary assembly.
UUUUCCUCAUUUUGCAAGUUGCUUUGGAUAAAAGUGUCUGCUAAAUGACUAAAU